rnacentral:rRNA from 1 species
UACGUAGGUGGCAAGCGUUGUUCGGAUUUACUGGGCGUAAAGGGCGCGUAGGCGGCGUGACAAGUCACUUGUGAAAUCUCCGGGCUUAACUCGGAACGGUCAAGUGAUACUGUCGUGCUAGAGUACAGAAGGGGCAACUGGAAUUCUCGGUGUAGCGGUGAAAUGCGUAGAUAUCGAGAGGAACACCUGCGGCGAAGGCGGGUUGCUGGGCUGAUACUGACGCUGAGGCGCGAAAGCCAGGGGAGCGAACGGG